GUGUCUUCUAUCUCUUGUUAGCAGCAGCGUACCAUCUUACAUCAAUUAAGUAAUGAACUCAAUAAGUCAUAACAUGACUAUCUUACAGCUUAAUUCCAAACAGAAUAUGUACAUCUUCAUUACGUUUUUCCUCAAAAAUACCCUGCAAAUAUAAAAUAUCUAUUGUCAUUCCAUCAUCACCACAUGUAUAAAUUCCAAGUUAACAAGAAAAGUUUAUUGACAUCACCUUUUGCUGCGAGAAUAGUAGAAAAGUCCAUUUGAUGAGGAUUCUGAGAGGUGGAGCAGCAGCCUUGUACACUUGCAGCAGGAUGAUCUUGCACAUGAAAAGCUGUUGUUGCAGAUAUAACAUUUCUUUUUAGCUCCCGACUGUUUGUUUGACGUUGUAGUAAUUGUGCCUCUCUUUUUUCUGCAGAAACCAGUCUAUCCAUUUCACGUCGUCUAAGUUUCAUCUUAGCAGACCUUUUUGUUGAGAGGGAGUCAUCAUUCUUUUCUUUAGAACUCAUUAGCCCUGCAUGUUCAAUGUGUAUAGCUAUUUUAAAUUGGUAAAGAACAACAAUUGCCACUGCACAAAGUAUUCAUUUUUAUAGUGAAACCAACUAAAUGUCCACGGGUGUGUAUCGCAUUCGCCAAAAGAGAUAGUAUUUGAUAAUGAUAAGGAUGGUGAUAUUCAUCCAAUUCAAUGUCAACGGGUGUGUAUCGCAUUCGCCUAAAGAGAUAGUAUUUGAUAGGAAUAGGGCUAAUGAUAUUCAUGAAAUUUAAUUUUGGUAUUGUAGUUGCUGGUGUGUUCUUAUGGAGGGGAAAAUGGGCUGAGUGAAGUGUGAAUUCUACUUUCUUCACUCUAUCAGAUCCAUCCAAUACACAUAACUACUACAUAGAAAAACCUUAACUCCUACUCGCAAAACAGCUAAAACUUUGUUAAGUUUGCUGACAGCAAGAACAAAAACAAAAUUUACACAAUUAUGUGUAUGCCAACAAAAUAAAAUUAAACAAUCAAGUGUAGGCCGACAAAAUAAACUCCACACAGAGCCCACAUAUCAAACGAAAGGGGAAAAAAUGAAGCACAACAACUUCACAGUCAGCGGGAUGUAACCCACAGAAGUCGAACAAAGGACGAAUCAGUAAGUGUAGUCAGAGUUUAUAAAGUUAAAAAAGUAGAAAUCACAGUAGAAGUAAAGCAGCCAGAUUUUUUACAUUAACUAUGCAUUCUCUAUUCCUCUCGGCUUAGGAACUAAUAACCAUGCGGAGAUUCGAGCUGCAAUAGAUGGGGUGGACUGGUGCAUACAACAUGGGUAUAGGAAAAUUCAGCUGGAAGUUGAUUCUCAGCUGCUUAUACAUUGGCUAAAUCACAGCAACCAUCCUCCAUGGGCACUCCAACAGUGUAUUCAGGACCUUCAAAGGCUCACAAAUCAGCUGGAAAUCUUCAAGUGCAAUCACAUAUAUAGAGAGGCAAAUUGUACAGCUGACUUCCUAUCUAAAUGGAGUCAUAACUCCGACAUUCUAUAGCAAUUUUACACCUACCAGCAGCUGACCAGGUUGGCCAAAGGAAGCUAUGUUUUAGAAAAAUUGGGUUUGACUACUUUCAGGAGGAAAAAGUUGAAAAGAAUCAAACAUCCUCCCUGAUCCUUGCAACUAGGACCAAUUGUACCUCUAUAUGUAGUUCUACACAAUGGUCUCAACUUGAAAAAUUUCUUCGUCAGUUUCGCACGUACAAGUCCACAAUUCUCUAACACUUGUAAUCAAUUUCCAGAAGAAUGCUUAGCCAUUCAUUUCUAUCCAAAGCUAACUUAAUCACUGCACCCUAAAAUCUAAAUAAAAUGGAAAGCAUGACUAGAUAAACAAUUUCAGAAACUAAUAAAGUUGAAGCAACAAAAACAUAAUACUUAUAAGAUUUACACUAAUUUAGUGAUUAAUAAACUAGCAUUACGUUUGGCCUUUAAAGAAUCUAUGGGAGUUGAGACCCCAUCAAAACACCUCAUAUUUCUUUCAACCAUAUGCUCCAAAAAAUGCAAACAGGUAUUUAUCAACUUCCCACAAACACCCAGAUCUGUAUGCUUUCCUUGCUGAUUUAUACUUAUUUAGUGAUUAAUCAACUGAUGUGGGUAAUACAACUACGAGCUAAACUCCCAAAAAUCAACAAAAAUCGUAUUUGCAGACACAAGAAUAUCAAAACCCUAAAGCUAAAAUUUAGACUUUCAAAGAUAGAAUUUUUACCUGAUAAACCCUAUUCCACCAAAAUCCUUUCAAUGUGUUGAAGCUUUAAGACACCAUCUUCUCAAGUGAAGCAUUUUAGUGAGGCGUGUUCAUCUGUGAGGCAUAACCUUCUGCUCUUCAACAAGAAAUCGUGAAAUCGUGUUCUUCAGCGAGUAGCUCUUCAGCUCUUCAACGUGAAAUCGUGAAAU
rnacentral:lncRNA from 1 species